rnacentral:lncRNA from 1 species
ACUUGAUAUAAUGUUAACUAAUUUAGAGGCAAAUAUCUUGAAAAGACCUUGAUUGAUAGUACCUGGUCAGCACACAUGAAUUACAUUGCUGGAGACCAAAUAUAUGAAAAUGUUGAUAUAUUGAUACAAUGCAACAUGAUUUUUUAACAAAGGUAUCAAAUCCUUAUUGUAGAUAGUUAUGAUAUAUUAUAUGUCAAAAGUACAAUAUUAUUUAAUCAUUUAAAAUAUUGAUAGUGCAUUACAAUUGAGAUUUGCUUUAAAGGUGUCAGAGAGAUUUGGUAUGAAAUCAGCGUGAGAGAAAAUAUCUUUCAUAAAGUCUCUUAACCUCAAGGUCCGGACAAUUGAUAAUUGGAAGUAAAUUUAUAUUGUUAUCAGCUUACUUGUAUUUCAUGAACUUUAAAUUACUGGUAAUGAGGAUAAUGUCCUGCUAUAAUCUUUAAUAUCAACACAUGUUUAAAAUAUGUUUUAAAUUGUGAUAAAUGAUCUGUUUUGUAGGAGAGUCACAAUCUACCUGAUGCUAUAGAGAGAGAAGCAUUUUACCACCAUAAAAGAUUAAUCAAUUAUGAUUAUCGUAGAACUAUGAGAACUCUUGUAUUUACACUGAAAAAUAAUGAGGACAUUCGAAAGACAAGUUAUAACUGGAGAACUUAAAGUACCAGAAUUUGUACAAACAUACAAAAAAUGAUGAUUAGUAUUGAGUUUCUCAAAAUCUGUGAUAAAAAUACACCUAUAUCCUGUUGUACAUGGCAUUUAAGGAUAGAAGAAUGUUGUCUUCAGGGGUCUGGUGGCAAUCAUUGAUCACAUCAAGAUAUGCCAAGCUAUGAAUGUGUUUCUUGAUGAAGAAAUUAAGCAAACAGAAUUUUUCUUUAAAAAAAGAAAAAUGAAUUUAUGUAAAGUGCUAACUCAUUUUAAAUUUCAAUGCCAAUUUAAAUAAACUAAUUGAGAUUUAAUACAAUUGCAUGAGUUAUAUAAAAAAUUUACUGUUGUGUGAUUCUUAUUAACUUUGGGAACACUGGUUUCACAUUUACAUUAUUUUGAUAACCAGUAAUAUGUUAACUGUUUUAUGUAUCUGUAAUUAAUUUUGAUAUUUUUUUUUUAUGUUUUUACUUAUUCAUGUUG